rnacentral:rRNA from 1 species
UACGAAAGGGGCUAGCGUUGUUCGGAAUCACUGGGCUUAAAGGGCGCGUAGGCGGGCCAUCAAGUCCGGGGUGAAAUCCUCCGGCUUAACCGGAGAAUUGCCUUGGAUACUGGUGGUCUUGAGGGAAGUAGGGGUCUGCGGAACUUCCGGUGGAGCGGUGAAAUGUGUUGAUAUCGGAAGGAACGCCGGUGGCGAAAGCGGCGGACUGGGCUUCUUCUGACGCUGAGGCGCGAAAGCUAGGGGAGCAAACGGG